rnacentral:misc_RNA from 1 species
AUGGAAUCUGUCACGACUGUAAGAAGAAAUUUUAAUAUAUCUCCACAACAAGAGUUUAUAAUGCAGGGUAGUAUAAUGGACACUUCUUGUGAAGUAUUACUUCAUAGAUUACGAGGCCUAUGUGAUAAUGCUGAUGAACCUCCCGAAACAUUUCAUGAUUAUGAAAUGGUGUUUCAGAUACGUGGACCCACUGGAACACCUAUGGUUGUGAAAGCAAGACAAGCCCUUGAUCAUCCUGAGAUGCCAUGGCAUCUGAAGUACUCUGGGCAACCUGAAAUCGGAGAUAAAAACAGAGCUGCAUUAAUUCGCAGUUGUAUUGAUGUAGAUACGUCAAGUAACAUUGUACAGUUCCUUAAUGAACUUGGAUUUAGACUAGAAUAUGAAUAUGUUUUAAAAGGUUUCAUGUUCAGAAAAGGGAGGAUGAAGGUGAUAGUUGCCAAAGUAUGUCGACUACUACAACUGAAUAAUCCAGAUAGUAUUGAGCCUGUCUCCCAAUCCUAUUUGGUUGAACUGACUGUUGUUGCUCCUGCGGGUCAACUUUCCUGAUGUAUCAUUCACUACUUCUGCUCUUGAAUGAGACUUCACUACGGAAUCAAAAUUGUGGAUGUUUUAUCUCUAGGCUUUAAGGAAGCAAUUGCCGAUGAAAUCAAAGCAUUUUCAGAGCAGCUUAAACCAU